rnacentral:rRNA from 1 species
UGAUGGCGACCGGCGCACGGGUGCGUAACGCGUAUGCAACCUACCUUUUACAGGGGCAUAACACUGAGAAAUUGGUACUAAUUCCCCAUAAUAUCUGAGACGGCAUCGUUUUGGGUUGAAAACUCCGGUGGUAAAAGAUGGGCAUGCGGCGCAUUAGGUAGUUGGUGGGGCAACGGCCCACCAAGCCGACGAUGCGUAGGGGUUCUGAGAGGAAGGUCCCCCACAUUGGAACUGAGACACGGUCCAAACUCCUACGGAAGGCAGCAG